AGUGAACGCUGGCGGUAGGCCUAACACAUGCAAGUCGAACGGCAGCACAGUAAGAGCUUGCUCUUACGGGUGGCGAGUGGCGGACGGGUGAGGAAUACAUCGGAAUCUACUUUUUCGUGGGGGAUAACGUAGGGAAACUUACGCUAAUACCGCAUACGACCUACGGGUGAAAGCAGGGGAUCUUCGGACCUUGCGCGAUUGAAUGAGCCGAUGUCGGAUUAGCUAGUUGGCGGGGUAAAGGCCCACCAAGGCGACGAUCCGUAGCUGGUCUGAGAGGAUGAUCAGCCACACUGGAACUGAGACACGGUCCAGACUCCUACGGGAGGCAGCAGUGGGGAAUAUUGGACAAUGGGCGCAAGCCUGAUCCAGCAAUACCGCGUGGGUGAAGAAGGACUUCGGCUUGUAAAGCCCUUUUGUUGGGAAAGAAAAGCAGCAGGUUAAUCCCCCGCUGUUCUGACGGUACCCAAAGAAUAAGCACCGGCUAACUUCGUG
rnacentral:rRNA from 1 species